UACGUAGGGGUCCGAGCGUUGUCCGGAAUUACUGGGCGUAAAGAGCUCGUAGGUGGUUUGUCGCGUUGUUCGUGAAAACUCACAGCUCAACUGUGGGCGUGCGGGCGAUACGGGCAGACUGGAGUACUGCAGGGGACGACUGGAAUUCCUGGUGUAGCGGUGGAAUGCGCAGAUAUCAGGAGGAACAGCCGGUGGCGAAGGCGGGUCUCUGGGCAGUAACUGACGCUGAGGAGCGAAAGCGUGGGGAGCGAACAGG
rnacentral:rRNA from 1 species